rnacentral:rRNA from 1 species
UACGUUGGUGGCAAGCGUUGUCCGGAUUUAUUGGGUUUAAAGGGUGCGUAGGCGGUUUAUUAAGUCAGUUGUGAAAUACGGCAGCUUAACUGUCGAGGUGCAAUUGAUACUGGUAGACUUGAGUACUGAUGAGGUAGGCGGAAUGGACGGUGUAGCGGUGAAAUGCUUAGAGAUCGUCCAGAACACCGAUAGCGAAGGCAGCUUACUAAGGAGUAACUGACGCUGAGGCGCGAAAGUGUGGGGAGCAAACAGG